GCAUGCGUAGCUCAGUAGGAUAGAGCGACCGCCUCCUAAGCGGUAGGCCGUGAGUUCGAAUCUCGCCGUGUGCACUA
rnacentral:tRNA from 1 species